rnacentral:lncRNA from 1 species
AUAAUUGAGGGCACAAUCAAAGGCCUAAUUGUUCAUAUUAUGUACUAUAUAAACUCUGUAACUUACUACACAAGAGGUAAGAAAAUAAAAACAGUUUUCUUCCUAUAAUCUCAAGAUGUUAUCAGAGCGGGUUUCGGUCUAAAAAUAUAGCCGUCCUGCAAUAAUUCUUUACCAGAUACCUUUCCCAACUUCUUUCUCUCACCAAAAUAACAAUGGCCG